rnacentral:rRNA from 1 species
GUGUCAGCCGCCGCGGUAAUACGGAGGGUGCGAGCGUUAAUCGGAAUUACUGGGCGUAAAGGGUGCGUAGGCGGUUUAAUAAGUUAAGUGUGAAAUUCCCGGGCUUAACCUGGGGUAGUCACUUAAGACUGUUGGACUGGAGUAUGAGAGAGGGUAGUGGAAUUUCCGGUGUAGCGGUGAAAUGCGUAGAGAUCGGAAGGAACAUCAGUGGCGAAGGCGGCUACCUGGCUUAAUACUGACGCUGAGGCACGAAAGCGUGGGGAGCAAACAGGAUUAGAUACCCUGGUAGUCCACGCUGUAAACGAUGUCAACUAGCUGUUGGCUUUAUUAAAGAAGUUAGUAGCGAAGCAAACGCGAUAAGUUGACCGCCUGGGGAGUACGGUCGCAAGAUUAAA